CUGAAAGAUAGCUUUAGCCCGGAAAACAAAGGCACCAUCUGAAAAUCAACUGUUUCGAGGCUGAGGAGCGAAUGGCGUGUUUUUCACACUGGAGUUAUUGUUUUCGUGCGAAGAAAUAUCGGGAUGAUGAAUGGAUUAGCCUUAUAUAAGGUAUCAUCCGCCCACGCUUGCUUCCUUCUGAGCAAAACUAAACACCAUAAGAAGGUUUGCAAAGAUCAGCCCUCAUCUUCGGGUACCCAGGGAAUCGAGGGCGUGGUAUCCCCAUGAUAACAGUUUUAACCGUCUGCAUGAGUUGGUCAAUCUCAGGCUUGGAGCUGAUGUGUUGUGGCAAGUCAAUCGCCAUCCCAGCAGAGUGUAACUUAAAGAUCAAACUCAAGAUUACAAACGAGCACAUGUACAGUAAAGCACAUACAGCAGAUACCAUAGCAGAUAGCAGGGCAAACUUAGGGGACCGUGUCACGGGGUCCUGUGAUAUGCACCUGCCAUUUGAGUGAUAAGUGAUAUUUUUUAUAUUUUUCUAAGCUACUGUAGCUGUACAUCAGUAAAAUCAGGGGGAAAUACAAUACUAGAUUAUCGCAAGUCCUAUUUCUAGAAUAUGCAAACAUUUGUGAUCCCUGAUUCAUAACUACACAAGGGUUAACAAGAGUAUGUACAUGAUGGAAGCAUUCUUGAGAUCCUUUAUAUUUACAAAUCACUUUUCAAAAAUCCAGGGACUGUGUGUGUUACUAUUCGACUAUGUAUUGCUAUCCUACUGUACAAUACUAUUGUUUGUACUCACUAGUUUUAAAUCUG